UACGAAGGGGGCUAGCGUUGCUCGGAAUUACUGGGCGUAAAGGGCGCGUAGGCGGACAGUUUAGUCAGAGGUCAAAGCCCAGGGCUCAACCUUGGAACUGCCUUUGAUACUGACUGUCUUGAGUUCGGGAGAGGUGAGUGGAAUGCCGAGUGUAGAGGUGAAAUUCGUAGAUAUUCGGCGGAACACCAGUGGCGAAGGCGACUCACUGGCCCGAUACUGACGCUGAGGCGCGAAAGCGUGGGUAGCGAACAGG
rnacentral:rRNA from 1 species